rnacentral:rRNA from 1 species
GACGAACGCUGGCGGCGUGCUUAACACAUGCAAGUCGAACGGAAAGGCCCUUCGGGGUACUCGAGUGGCGAACGGGUGAGUAACACGUGGGUGAUCUGCCCUGCACUUUGGGAUAAGCCUGGGAAACUGGGUCUAAUACCGAAUAGGACCACGCGCGUCGUGUGGUGUGGUGGAAAGCUUUUGCGGUGUGGGAUGGGCCCGCGGCCUAUCAGCUUGUUGGUGGGGUAAUGGCCUACCAAGGCGACGACGGGUAGCCGGCCUGAGAGGGUGACCGGCCACACUGGGACUGAGAUACGGCCCAGACUCCUACGGGAGGCAGAAGUGGGGAAUAUUGCACAAUGGGCGAAAGCCGGAUGCAGCGACGCCGCGUGAGGGAUAACGGCCUUCGGGUUGUAAACCUCUUUCAAUAGGGACGAAGCGCAAGUGACGGUACCUAUAGAAGAAGCACCGGCCAACUACGUG